GAUGAACGCUGGCGGCGCGCAUAACACAUGCAAGUCGAACGGAGUUUAGAUGAAACCUAGUGAUUUUAAACUUAGUGGCGGACGGGUGAGUAACGCGUGGGUAACCUACCUGGUAUUGGGGGACAACAGUUAGAAAUGACUGCUAAUACCGCAUACGACAUCGGAGAGGCAUCUCUCUGAUGUGAAAGGAGCAAUCCGAUAGCAGAUGGACCCGCGUCUGAUUAGCUAGUUGGUGAGGUAACGGCCCACCAAGGCGACGAUCAGUAGCCGAACUGAGAGGUUGACCGGCCACAUUGGGACUGAGACACGGCCCAAACUCC
rnacentral:rRNA from 1 species